UCUCCGUAGGUGAACCUGCGGAAGGAUCAUUAUUGUAUAACCGAGGUGCGAGGGCUGUCGCUGACCCGAAAGGUCGUGCACGCCCGAGUGCCCUCACACAUCCAUCUCACCCCUAUGUGCACCACCGCGUGGGUCCCCCUUUGGCUUGUUCGGAGGGGGGCUUACGUUUUCACACAAACUUUGUAUGCAGUGUAGAAUGUAUUUUUUGUUUUUGCGAUCACGCAAUCAAUACAACUUUCAACAACGGAUCUCUUGGCUCUC
rnacentral:misc_RNA from 1 species